AUUGAACGCUGGCGGCAGGCCUAACACAUGCAAGUCGAACGAGUGGCGGACGGGUGAGUAAUGUCUGGGAAACUGCCCGAUGGAGGGGGAUAACUACUGGAAACGGUAGCUAAUACCGCAUACCAUCGGAUGUGCCCAGAUGGGAUGAGCUAGUAGGUGGGGUAACGGCUCACCAAGGCGACGAGCCCUAGCUGGUCUGAGAGGAUGACCAGCAACACUGGAACUGAGACGCGGUCGAGGCUCCGACGGGAGGAAGCGGUGUGGAAUAUUGCACAAUGGGCGCGAGCCUGAUGCAGCGAUGCCGAGUGUAUGAAGAAGGCCGUCGGGUUGUAAAGUACUUUCAGCGAGGAGGCGUUACUCGCAGAAGAAGCACCGGCUAACGCCGUGCCAGCAGCCGCGGUAAUUC
rnacentral:rRNA from 1 species